rnacentral:rRNA from 1 species
AUUGAACGCUGGCGGCAGGCCUAACACAUGCAAGUCGAGCGAGCGGCUGACGGGUGAUUAAUGUCUGGGAAACUGCCUGAUGGAGGGGGCUAACUCCUGGAAACGGUAGCUAAUACCGCAUCCCAUCAGAUGUGCCCCGAUGGGAUUAGCUAGUAGGUGGGGUAACGGCUCACCUAGGCGACGAUCCCUAGCUGGUCUGAGAGGAUGACCAGAAAAACUGGAACUGAGACAAGGUCCAGACGCCUACGGGAGGAAGCAGUGGGGAAUAUUGCACAAUGGGCGCAAGCCUGAUGCAGCCAUGCCGCGUGUGUGAAGAAGGCCUUAGGGUUGGAAAGCACUUUCAGCGGGGAGGCGUUACACGCAGAAGAAGCACCGGAUAACUCAGUGCCAGCAGCCGCGGUAAUAC